CGGCCUCGAAGCCUCCUCUGCCCGCCCCGCUGGCUCCCCCCGUCCGGGGCUUCGCAUCCUCCCGCGUUCCCCUCCGCCUGGGUUUCCACAGUGAUCAGCAGAGCGCCUGCACCAAUCCGGGCGCGUCGCCCCGCCUGCCAUUGGCCCAGGAGGAUCUUUCGAAGGCCAGCGGGCUGGAACAGCGGUCCCCGGCUCCCCCGCCUGCCCCCCCACGCGGAGUCGAGAGGGGCCUGGAGGGUGUCCUUGAUGUAGGACUCCACACUUCCCAGGGAAGAAGAAUGGGAUGGAAGCCUUACUGGUUGCAUGGGACAAAACUCAAAUUGGCUCAGAAAAAAGGAGGAGUUUGUUGCCUCACUAAACUCAAGGAGGGACUUCCCUGGUGGCACAGUGGUUAAGAAUCCGCCUGCCAAUGCAGGGGACACGGGUUCGAGCACUGGUCUGGGAGGAUCCCACAUGUGGCGGAGCAACUAAGCCCGUGCACCACAACUACCGAGCCUGCACUCUAGAGCCCGCGAGCCACAACUAUCAAGCCCACUUGCCACAACUACUGAAGCCCGCGUGCCUAGAGCCCGUGCUCCGCAACAAGAGAAGACACCACAACGAGAAGCCUGCACACCGCAACAAAGAGUAGCCCCCACUCGCCACAACUAGAGAAAGCCUGCUCACAGCUACGAAGACCCAACACAGCCAAAAAUAAAAAUAAAUAGAUAAAUUUAUUUUUAAAAUAAAUCAAUAAAUUCAAGGAAAGGUGGGACAAUCUGACCACAGGAAGGUGGGGAUGGAGGGGCUCAGGAACCAGCAGAUGCAGGAACUUGAAGGCUGCCAGGUCUCUCCCUCCUCUGUUCCUCCUUGAUGUCACUUCUUUCUCUCUCCUUGCAAACGAGGGUCUGGUGGAGAGACAGCUGAAAACUACUGGGUCUUAGGUCUUAUGGCUUGCUACGUUGGAAGGUAGGCCUACUAAUCUCUCGAGGUAUAAACUCAGACACAGAAGGAAGAACUCUGACUGGCACGCCCUUCUUGGAUCAAGUACCCAUGCCUGGAUGAGUCAACUAUGGCCUGGAGAUUGAUCUCAAAGAGUCCACAUGUUGGAGUGGGGAAAGUGUCAAGGUAUGAACGCAGGUUGGAGAAGAAUUUCCAGACAUAAAGCAGAACGUAAAGAAGAUAGAAUUUAUUAGAGGAAAGGGUCGCUGCCAGAACUGCGGCCCGAAUUCCUAGUAGUCUGGGAGAGUCGAGCCCGCACAUAUGCUAUUGAUCAGCUUUUAUAGCCAGAAAACAAAGGAAUGGUCCAAGGUGAAAUUUUCGUUUACUGAUUGAUCGAGGCACACAUACCUUCCUUCUGUACGGUGGGAGUAGGACAGGGCAUAUGUCUUUCCUUAUUUGGGACAGGUCCCAUUGCCCAGGUGGGCAUCACCCAGGUGGGCUCAGGGAUUUCAAAACCAUCUCAACAUGGUGGGGAGGGCGAUUAAGAGUCCAGUAGGUAUACCUCUGAAACUUUUUCAGGCAGGGUCAUCCUUUGUCCCUGAAGCACCAUUGUCCUUGGAGCACCACACUCCCCCUUCUCUUUAUGUGUAGGGCCAAUUCCUUGGCCUUAUUGAAUACCUUACUCAUAUCUACCUAACUGCCUAAUUCCCUCUCAGACAUUCAGGAAGCCCUUUAGUGAGGAGAAGGGGCGAUGAACUCUGGCUGCUUCCUGCUGAGUGAGGGCGUCCUGGGGCCCUGGGUUCCCUUGCCUGCUCUCUGUCAGGGUGCAUCUAGGGAGGAGUGCGGGCCCCAUGGAAAGAGAUGGUGGCUUGUUCAAGGGUCGUAGUAGUGUUGACUGUCCAGUAUUCUUUUUUUCUUUUUAAUAAAUUUAUUUAUUUA